AGCCCUUUAGUUUGAAACCCCGAAACCAGGUGAGCUACCCCGAGACCGCCUAUUUAAAUUUAGGGCUAACCCGUCUCUGUAGCAAAAGAGUGGGAAGAGCUCCGGGUAGAAGUGACAGACCUACCGAACCUGGUGAUAGCUGGUUGCCUGAGAAAUGGAUAGAAGUUCAGCCUCGUGUGCCCCUAGUCAAAUUAUAAACUAUUAAGAUGUUAGGGAAAUGCACGAGAGUUAGUUGAAGGGGGUACAGCCCCUUUAACGAAGGAUACAACCUUUACAGGAGGAUAAAGAUCACAAUGUACAAAAUGUACUGUUUUAGUGGGCCUAAAAGCAGCCACCUGAACAGAAAGCGUUAAAGCUCAGACAGAUACCAAUUUAUUAUACUGAUAACUAAUCUUACUCCCCUAGUACUAUCAGGCUAACCCAUGCACCCAUGGGAGAAAUUAUGCUAGAAUGAGUAACAAGAAGACACGCUCUUCUCCAAGCACAAGUGUAAACCAGAUCGGACCACCCGCUGGAAAUUAACGAACCCAACCCAAGAGAGUAAUGUGGCCAACAAAAAAACCAAGAAAACCCCACAGUUAAACAAUCGUUAACCCCACACUGGAGUGCUACUUUAUAAAGGAAAGACUAAAAGAAAGGGAAGGAACUCGGCAAACACAAGCCUCGCCUGUUUACCAAAAACAUCGCCUCCUGCAACUAAAUUGAGUAUAGGAGGUCCAGCCUGCCCAGUGACUACGGGUUCAACGGCCGCGGUAUUUUGACCGUGCAAAGGUAGCGCAAUCACUUGUCUUUUAAAUAGAGACCUGUAUGAAUGGCUAAACGAGGGCUUAGCUGUCUCCCCCUUCCAGUCAGUGAAAUUGAUCUAUCCGUGCAGAAGCGGGUAUAAUACUACAAGACGAGAAGACCCUUUGGAGCUUAAGGUACAAAAUCCACCCACGUCAAACAACUCCGCAAAAAGCAAGAACUUAGUGGACAAUGGACACUUACCUUCGGUUGGGGCGACCACGGAGGAAAACCUAGCCUCCGAGUGGACUGGGCUACAUUCCUAGAACCAAGAGAGACAUCUCUAAGCCACAGAAUAUCUGACCAAUUAAUGAUCCGGACUUCUAGACCGAUCAACGAACCAAGUUACCCUAGGGAUAACAGCGCAAUCCUCUCCCAGAGUCCAUAUCGACGAGGGGGUUUACGACCUCGAUGUUGGAUCAGGACAUCCUAAUGGUGCAGCCG
rnacentral:rRNA from 1 species